CACGUAGGCACCAAGCGUUGUCCGGAUUUAUUGGGCGUAAAGAGCUCGUAGGCGGUUCAGUAAGUCGGGUGUGAAAACUCAGGCUCAACCCUGAGCGGCCACCCGAUACUGCUGUGACUUGAGUCCGGUAGGGGAGUGGGGAAUUCCUGGUGUAGCGGUGAAAUGCGCAGAUAUCAGGAGGAACACCGGUGGCGAAGGCGGGUCUCUGGGCCGAUACUGACGCUGAGGAGCGAAAGCGUGGGGAGCGAACAGG
rnacentral:rRNA from 1 species